AAAUGAAUAGACGGGGGCCCGCACAAGCAGUGGAGUAUGUGGUUUAAUUCGACGCAACGCGAAGAACCUUACCAGGGCUUGACAUCCUCGGCUCGCGAUAGAGAUAUCGUUUUCUUCGGAGCAAUCCUUAGACCGAGAGACAGGUGGUGCAUGGUUGUCGUCAGCUCGUGUCGUGAGAUGUUGGGUUAAGUCCCGCAACGAGCGCAACCCCUAUUGUUAGUUGCCAUCAUUAAGUUGGGCACUCUAACGAGACUGCCGUUGACAAAACGGAGGAAGGUGGGGAUGAGGUCAAAUCAUCAUGCCCCUUAUGUCCUGGGCUACACACGUACUACAAUGGCAGUCACAACGGGCAGCGACACCGCGAGGUGUAGCGAAUCCUAAAAGGCUGUCUCAGUUCAGAUUGCAGGCUGCAACUCGCCUGCAUGAAGCAGGAAUUGCUAGUAAUGGCAGGUCAGCAUACUGCCGUGAAUACGUUCCCGGGCCUUGUACACACCGCCCGU
rnacentral:rRNA from 1 species